UACGUAGGGUGCAAGCGUUGUCCGGAAUUACUGGGCGUAAAGAGCUCGUAGGUGGUUUGUCGCGUUGUCCGUGAAAACUCACAACUCAAUUGUGGGCGUGCGGGCGAUACGGGCAGACUGGAGUAUUGCAGGGGGAGACUGGAAUUCCUGGUGUAGCGGUGGAAUGCGCAGAUAUCAGGAGGAACACCGGUGGCGAAGGCGGGUCUCUGGGCAGUAACUGACGCUGAGGAGCGAAAGCGUGGGGAGCGAACAGG
rnacentral:rRNA from 1 species